rnacentral:rRNA from 1 species
UUCGCAAUGCCCGAAAGGGUGACGAAGCGACGCCGCGUGUGGGAAGAAGGCCUUCGGGUUGUAAACCACUGUCAGGGGUUAGGAAGUGUAAGGGUGUUAAGAGCGUCCUUACUUGACUUAAGCCCCAGAGGAAGCCACGGCUAACUCUGUGCCAGCAGCCGCGGUAAUACAGAGGUGGCAAGCGUUGUUCGGAAUUAUUGGGCGUAAAGAGCACGUAGGCGGCUCUGCAAGUCAGCUGUGAAAGCCUUCUGCUUAACGGAAGAACAGCAGUUGAUACUACAGGGCUUGAGUGCGGGAGGGGAGAGUGGAACUUCCGGUGGAGCGGUGAAAUGCGUAGAUAUCAGAAGGAACGCCGGCGGCGAAAGCGACUCUCUGGUCCGUAACUGACGCUGAGUGUGCGAAAGCUAGGGGAGCAAACGGGAUUAGAUACCCCGGUAGUCCUAGCCGUAAACGAUGGGCACUAAGUAGAGGGGUUUUA